GUGGAUAGGGGUGAAAGGCCAAUCAAACUUCGUGAUAGCUGGUUCUCUCCGAAAUAUAUUUAGGUAUAGCCUUGUGUUGUAGCAUAUAGGGGUAGAGCACUGAAUGGGCUAGGGCUGCUUACCGCGGUACCAAACCCUAUCAAACUAUGAAUACUAUAUGUGGAAUCACAGGAGUCAGGCGGUGGGUGAUAAAAUCCAUCGUCGAGAGGGGAACAACCCAGACUAACAGCUAAGGUCCCUAAGUCACAUCUAAGUGGAAAACGAUGUGGAGUUACUGUGACAACCAGGAGGUUGGCUUAGAAGCAGCCAUCCUUUAAAGAAAGCGUAACAGCUCACUGGUCUAGUGAUUCUGCGCGGAAAAUAUAACGGGGCUAAGAUGUGCACCGAAGCUUUAGAUUCGAAUUUAUUCGAGUGGUAGGAGAGCGUUCUAUUCAGCGUUGAAGAUGUACCGGUAAGGAGCGUUGGAGCGGAUAGAAGUGAGCAUGCAGGCAUGAGUAGCGAUAAUUGAGGUGAGAAUCCUCAACGCCGAAAACCCAAGGUUUCCUACGCGAUGCUCGUCAUCGUAGGGUUAGUCGGGUCCUAAGUCGAGUCCGAAAGGGGUAGACGAUGGCAAAUUGAUUAAUAUUUCAAUACCAACAUACAAGCGCGAUGUGGGGACGCAUAGAGUUAAUCGAGCUCACUGAUGGAAUAGUGGGUCGAAGGACGUAGGCUGUUACUUAGGCAAAUCCGGGUUGCAAUAGGCCGAGAUCUUACAGGCUCUUGACACUCUUCGGAGGAGAUGGAGAAUCGAUGAUACUGUCGUGCCAAGAAAAGCCACUAAGUUUAUUGUAUGUUGCCCGUACCGUAAACCGACACAGGUGGGUGGGAUGAGUAUUCUAAGGCGCGUGGAAGAACCCUGUUUAAGGAACUCUGCAAAAUAGCACCGUAUCUUCGGUAUAAGGUGUGCCUACUUUGGUAUAUAAACUUGCUUUCAAAAGCUGAAGAGGUUGCAACAAAGAGUCCCUCCCGACUGUUUACCAAAAACACAGCACUUUGCUAACACGUAAGUGGAUGUAUAAGGUGUGACGCCUGCCCGGUGCUCGAAGGUUAACUGAUGAUGUCAGCGCAAGCGAAGCAUUUGAUUGAAGCCCGAGUAAACGGCGGCCGUAACUAUAACGGUCCUAAGGUAGCGAAAUUCCUUGUCGGUUAAAUACCGACCUGCAUGAAUGGCGUAACGAGAUGGGAGCUGUCUCAACCAGGGAUCCAGUGAAAUUGUAGUGGAGGUGAAAAUUCCUCCUACCCGCGGAAAGACGGAAAGACCCCGUGCACCUUUACUACAGCUUGACACUGUAGCUUGGAUAUUCAUGUGCAGGAUAGGUGGGAGGCUAUGAUGACUAGACGCAAGUAGAGUCGGAGCCAUCCUUGAGAUACCACCCUUGAAUAUUUGAGUUACUAACUGCGUACAAUUAUCUUGUAUCAGGACAAUGUCUGGUGGGUAGUUUGACUGGGGCGGUCGCCUCCUAAAAAGUAACGGAGGCUUACAAAGGUUAGUUCAUGGCGGAUGGAAAUCGCCAGUUGAGUAUAAUGGCAUAAACUAGCUUGACUGUGAGACAUACAAGUCGAACAGAGACGAAAGUCGGUCAUAGUGAUCCGGUGGUUCUGUGUGGAAGGGCCAUCGCUCAAAGGAUAAAAGGUACGCCGGGGAUAACAGGCUGAUCUCCCCCAAGAGCUCACAUCGACGGGGAGGUUUGGCACCUCGAUGUCGGCUCAUCGCAUCCUGGGGCU
rnacentral:rRNA from 1 species